GGCUCGAUGGCGGAUAGUCCGCACUUGCAUCACAUGAGAGGUUCCAGAAUCAAGAGUGUGCCAGAGAUGCCCGUUCGACUCGGGCUCGAGCCA